AUGCAGAGAGCCUUCCCUGGCCCAGAGGUGGUCUCCAGUUGGGGCCCCCUCCCCAUUGCCCCAGCUGCCUUUUGCAAGGAAGGCUUUAUACUGCCAGUGCUUAAAGACCUGUUACAUUCUGUCUUGAACAGACACUCUGCUUUUCUCUUCUCUGCAGACCAGGACACAGAGAAGCAGCCUGGGCUUGUGGGAUCCUGGGCAAAGGAGCAUUGUGACCAUGUACUGGACUCCAUUGACGCCCAGUUCAGCCAGUGGCAGGGCCCUGGUGUGCAAGUCAUGGGCAGCAGCAGAGACCACGACAUCUCUUCUGACACCUCCCUCGAUGUCUCUUGGCUGGCUGAACUGGAAGAACAACCUGCAGCCAAGGCUGAAUACCUCCAGACUGAAGCCAGUCAGAGCAGCUCCAGCUCUGUGUGCACGGAGGACUUUGCUGCCAGGUUUCAGGAGGGUAUGGUUGAGCCUCUGGUGUUCUCCGAGGAUGAAGAAGACGAGCCUUUCUCAGCGGGCAUCAAGCAUGCCAGGGAUGUCCCAGCAGGAGGCAAUGGCAUCUCUUGCCCUGCUGAGGACCAUGACUCUGGGCAGGAUGAGUCCUUGCUCUCCACAGGGAGAAGACAGGAAGUCCCAUGGCAGUUGGAGGUGGAGCUGGGCUGUCCGUUGCAGAGCACAUCUCCAUCUCUGAUGAGGAGACAGAGCCUGGAGUCUCUGGGAGGGAGGAUAUCCAGACUGAGCCAGAGCAAUGCUGUGACUGCAGGGAUGGAGCCGGCCAGCUUCCCAGGGUGGUGGGCUCCCAUGCCAGCCCCCUCUGAGCAGGGAUGGACUCUGCAUGGAGCUAAUGUGAGAGGGUGUUUGACAAGGAGACGUGCAGGAGUCCCUGUGCCUCGAGCCUCAGUCUCUGCRGACAGCAGUUUGCCAGGGGAUGGUGAUGCUGGGACCAAAUGGCAUCGCAUGAGCAGGCCUGUGAGGUCAAGACAGCAGGAGACACCAGCUCUCCGGAGACGGUCUGGAAGGGACGUUGUCCUUGCUGUGGCUGAUGUGGACAUGGAAGGAGCUGGUAACAGGCUGAGGAGAGCUCAGUCCUGGGCACAUCGUACCAAUACAGCAGCAAGACCCCCCAGGGUGUGCAGCCUCGACUCCUCAGGGGAUCGGGGCUCCAUGGACACCUACAAAGAGUCAUCAUCCUGUGGGGGCAGCUGUUGGAGGAGCAGCAGUGCGGAGAGGUGGACCUGGAGCCCAGGCAAAGCGGCCAAGCCCUGGUGGGAACAUGCAAGGCUGGAAGCCAGCCUAGACCACAAGCGUGCAGGCAGGGAGCCAGCGUCACUGUCUUGGUCUCUGCAGAGGAACUGGAAGGGAGUUCAAGAGCUGGGGUCCUUUGCAAAGAAGACACAGAGCAAAGGAGACAUAGCCAGGACUGGCCCAGCACUCUUGGAGCACACGCAUGACGCCUGCUGGCAGGAGCUGAUGGAGCUGGAGAAGGAGGUCCAGAGUCGGCUCCUGGAAGACAGAAAGACUUGGGGGGCAGAAAAGAAGGGAAUUAUUCAGUCUCAGCAAGGGCUCCUGGGGGAGCAGAGCCAGGGAGCCUGUGCUGACUGCCAGGAGGGGCUGGAGAAGGAGCUAAGGAAAACGUCAGCUUUGCAGGAAGAGAAACUGGAGUUACAGAAGAGACUCCACGAGCUGGAGCAUCGGACCCGCUCCCUCCUGCAAUGGAGGCAGGAAGCCCUGGAUGAGCUUCAUGUGCUGCUGCAGAAGGAGAAGAUGGACAUGCUGCGGCAGCUCCAGGAAGCUCUGGAGCAGGAGCCAGCGGUGCCAGGCCAGGCUGGGCGCUCCCUGGCAAGGCAUAUCAGCUUGGCAUGCCAGCGCCUCCGUGACUUGCUUCCUGACAACUCCAUGGGGCAGAGCCCUUCGCCAGCAGUGUUUGGCCACGCGCUCCGAAUCCUGCAUGGCCUCAGUGAGGAAAUACAGCGUCACCUCAGAGACCUUCAGAGGGAGAGGGAGGCCCAGAGGUGCUCUGUCCUCCACCUUCAGAGAGAGAAGGAGCAUGAGCUGAGGCAGCAGCGAGAGUGGAUUCACAUGGAGAAGGAGGCAGGUCCGAGAGCCCUGAAGGAACAGCUGAUUCAGAGACAAAGCAAAUAUCCAUACUUCUGCUCCACCUCUUCCCUGUCCUCAAGCACCAUGCCCUGCCUCCGGCAGCAAAACUUCAGGCGCUUCAGGGUCCUGCACCAAAUCCAAAACUGCAUGCAAGAGGUACAGGCAGAGAACACCACCCACCGCACAGGCAACCUGGAGAACCUGACUGUCCUGACAGGAGAGCUGGGCACGCAGCAAGAGAAAAGGUAUGGGGACACCCUGGGUAGGUGUGACUAUCUCUUGCCACAGCCUCAUGAAAGGAUGAAUCCAAAGCAAGCAAGUGAUGCAGAGCACCACUGCAGCAUGCCCAGCCCAGCUGGGACAUGUAGCCUGCGUCAAGUGCACAGAGCACUCCAAUGA
ensembl:lncRNA